UACCAGCUAGACCUCCAGAUCAAUGUUUUGGCACAUAUGUUACCACCACAGCUAGCUGGCUACAAAUCUAACAGAGCCAGCAAUCCAGCAAUAAGGAAAGCACGGAUGAGAUGCAAACAAAUAAAAACAGACAGUCACAAGUACUCCAAAAGGCGUAACACCACACUCACUGGGAGGUCGACAGGGCCGUCGACUCCUGGGCAUCUGCUGCAGUUCAUCUUUAAGGACAUUCCCACCACGGAGUGACUGACCAGUUGAAAGGGAUACAUUUACUCUGACUCAAAAUGAUUUAAAUCAUGGAGGACGGGAGAGGCAUAUUGUCGGGGACUGAUUCCUCCUGUCAUUUCCUCCAUAUGUUUUGUCAGUGCCAGAUAAAUCACUGUGACAGCCAAACAGAAGCCAGGAAGGCCCCCAGGAGAAUUUAGCAGUACGUCCAACCGGCCUCACAACCGCAGACCACGUUUAACCAUGCCAG